rnacentral:ncRNA from 2 species
CGGGGUUCUCAGGGCGGGGUGAAAGUCCCCACCGGCGGUAAUCAUGCUUUGCAUGUAGCCCGCGGGCGCUUGCUUGCUAUUGACCGAUAGCUAAGCGAGGACAGCAGAUCUGGUGCGAUUCCGGAGCCGACGGUUAGAGUCCGGUUAUGAGAAAAGUGAA